rnacentral:rRNA from 1 species
GAUGAACGCUGGCGGCGUGCCUAAUACAUGCAAGUCGAGCGAACAGACGAGGAGCUUGCUCCUCUGACGUUAGCGGCGGACGGGUGAGUAACACGUGGAUAACCUACCUAUAAGACUGGGAUAACUUCGGGAAACCGGAGCUAAUACCGGAUAAUAUAUUGAACCGCAUGGUUCAAUAGUGAAGGACGGUUUUGCUGUCACUUAUAGAUGGAUCCGCGCCGCAUUAGCUAGUUGGUAAGGUAACGGCUUACCAAGGCAACGAUGCGUAGCCGACCUGAGAGGGUGAUAGGCCACACUGGAACUGAGACACGGUCCAGACUCCUACGGGAGGCAGCAGUAGGGAAUCUUCCGCAAUGGGCGAAAGCCUGACGGAGCAACGCCGCGUGAGUGAUGAAGGUCUUCGGAUCGUAAAACUCUGUUAUUAGGGAAGAACAAAUGUGUAAGUAACUAUGCACGUCUUGACGGUACCUAAUCAGAAAGCCACGGCUAACUACGUG